AUGAAGGUAAAAUGAUGUGGGUGGUGGACGUGAUGAUGGUGGUGAUGCUGAUACUGAUGGUGUUGGUGGUGAAGCUUCAUGAAAGGGACGGUGAUGGUGAAGGUAUAAUGAUAUGGGUGGUGAUGGUGUUGGUGGUGAAGCUUCAUGAAAGGGACGGUGAUGGUGAAGGUAUAAUGAUGUGGGUGGUGAUGGUGUUGGUGGUGAAGCUUCAUGAAAGGGACGGUGAUGGUGAAGGUAUAAUGAUAUGGGUGGUGAUGGUGUUGGUGGUGAAGCUUCAUGAAAGGGAUGGUGGUGAUGAAGGUUUAUAAUGAUGUGGGUGGUGAUGGUGUUGGUGGUGAAGCUUCAUGAAAGGGACGGUGGUGAUGAAGGUUUAUAAUGAUAUGGGUGGUGAUGGUGUUGGUGGUGAAGCUUCAUGAAAGGGACGGUGGUGAUGAAGGUUUAUAAUGAUAUGGGUGGUGAUGGUGUUGGUGGUGAAACUUCAUGAAAGGGACGGUGAUGGUGAAGGUAUAAUGAUAUGGGUGGUGAUGGUGUUGGUGGUGAAGCUUCAUGAAAGGGAUGGUGGUGAUGAAGGUUUAUAAUGAUAUGGGUGGUGAUGGUGUUGGUGGUGAAGCUUCAUGAAAGGGACGGUGGUGAUGAAGGUUUAUAAUGAUGUGGGUGGUGAUGGUGUUGGUGGUGAAGCUUCAUGAAAGGGAUGGUGAUGAAGGUAUAAUGAUGAGGGUGGUGAUGGUGGUGGUCUUGGUGCUGGUGAGCCCAUCCUAAGAUUUAGGUUUUGCCGU